UACGGAGGGUGCGAGCGUUGUCCGGAAUCACUGGGCGUAAAGAGCGCGCAGGCGGUCGUUCAAGUCGCGUGUGAAAGCCCCCGGCUCAACUGGGGAGGGUCACGCGAUACUGCUCGACUUGAAGGCAGGAGAGGGAAGUGGAAUUCCCGGUGUAGUGGUGAAAUGCGUAGAUAUCGGGAGGAACACCAGUGGCGAAGGCGACUUCCUGGCCUGUUCUUGACGCUGAGGCGCGAAAGCUAGGGUAGCAAACGGGG
rnacentral:rRNA from 1 species